UAGGGAAUCUUCCGCAAUGGGCGAAAGCCUGACGAAGCAACGCCGCGUGAGUGAUGAAGGUCUUCGGAUCGUAAAACUCUGUUAUUAGGGAAGAACAAAUGUGUAAGUAACUAUGCACGUCUUGACGGUACCUAAUCAGAAAGCCGCGGCUAACUACGUGCCAGCAGCCGCGGUAAUACGUAGGUGGCAAGCGUUAUCCGGAAUUAUUGGGCGUAAAGCGCGCGUAGGCGGUUUUUUAAGUCUGAUGUGAAAGCCCACGGCUCAACCGUGGAGGGUCAUUGGAAACUGGAAAACUUGAGUGCAGAAGAGGAAAGUGGAAUUCCAUGUGUAGCGGUGAAAUGCGCAGAGAUAUGGAGGAACACCAGUGGCGAAGGCGACUUUCUGGUCUGUAACUGACGCUGAUGUGCGAAAGCGUGGGAAUCAAACAGG
rnacentral:rRNA from 1 species